rnacentral:rRNA from 1 species
UACGUAGGGUGCGAGCGUUGUCCGGAAUUAUUGGGCGUAAAGGGCUCGUAGGCGGUUUGUCGCGUCGGGAGUGAAAACACCGGGCUUAACUCGGUGCUUGCUUUCGAUACGGGCAGACUAGAGGCAUGCAGGGGAGAACGGAAUUCCUGGUGUAGCGGUGAAAUGCGCAGAUAUCAGGAGGAACACCGGUGGCGAAGGCGGUUCUCUGGGCAUGUCCUGACGCUGAGGAGCGAAAGUGUGGGGGAGCGAACAGG